GUGUCGCAGGGAAGGAGAGCUAGUUGGCACUCCCCUGGGCAAGGACGGACACAUAUACCCGCUUAUGGCACAGCAUAAGCAACCCUUUUU